GAGGAUCCAAGCGUUAUCCGGAUUUAUUGGGUUUAAAGGGUGCGUAGGCGGUUUUAUAAGUUAGAGGUGAAAAUUCGGGGCUCAACUCCGGACGUGCCUCUAAUACUGUAUGACUAGAGAUUAGAUGCGGUAGGCGGAAUGUAUGGUGUAGCGGUGAAAUGCGUAGAGAUCAUACAGAACACCGAUUGCGAAGGCAGCUUACCAAACUAUAUCUGACGUUGAGGCACGAAAGCGUGGGGAGCAAA
rnacentral:rRNA from 1 species